rnacentral:rRNA from 1 species
ACCCCUAUCGUCAGUUGCCAGCAUUCAGUUGGGGACUCUGACGAGACCGCCGGUGUUAAACCGGAGGAAGGCGGGGACGACGUCAAGUCAUCAUGGCCUUUAUGUCCAGGGCUGCACACGUGCUACAAUGCGGCGUACAAAGGGUUGCCAACCCGUGAGGGGGAGCCAAUCCCAAAAAGCGUCGCUCAGUUCGGAUUGCAGGCUGCAACUCGCCUGCAUGAAGCUGGAAUCGCUAGUAAUCGCGGGUCAGCUAUACCGCGGUGAAUGUGUUCCUGAGCC